rnacentral:rRNA from 1 species
GACGUAGGGCGCGAGCGUUGUCCGGAUUUAUUGGGCGUAAAGAGCUCGUAGGCGGCUUGUUGCGUCGACUGUGAAAAACCCGCGGCUCAACCGUGUGGUCUGCAGUCGAUACGGGCAGGCUGGAGUUCGGUAGGGGGAGACUGGAAUUCCUGUGUAGCGGUGAAAUGCGCAGAUAUCAGGAGGAACACCGGUGGCGAAGGCGGGGUCUCUGGGGCCGAUACUGACGUGAGGA